rnacentral:sRNA from 18 species
AAUCCGCGUUUUAGUUACUUAUUUUGAAAUGUAAAUCUAGAACAAAAGAAAAAUCAUGAGGGAUAUUUACGUUUUAGUUACUUAUUUUGAAAUGUAAAUGGUUUUGAAUGCUGGUGGUGAUAGUCCUAAUGAAGGUUUUAGUUACUUAUUAUGAAAUGUAAAUUUGGUUCCUUUGGAAAACAACAAUAACGUGUAGUAUUGUUUUAUUCAAUCAUUCAGAAUUGGUAAAUGCAGAAGCAGCAAAAUAACCAAAAGUAAUGACUUUCGUUUUAAUUUCUUAAGAUGAAAUAUAAAUGAAAACCUGUUAUACAUAGGAUUAUCUAUUUCCGUUAUAAUUAUUCCUUGCAA